rnacentral:tRNA from 1 species
GGGGUUGUAGCUCAAUGGUAGAGCGCUUGUCUAGCAUAUGAGAGACACUAGGUUCAAUUCUCAACACUG